GACGAACCGUGCGAACGUUAUUCGGAAUCACUGGGCUUAAAGCGCGUGUAGGUGGGAGGGAACGUCCGCCGCUGAAAUCCCCCGGCUCAACCGGGGAACGGGCGCGGAUACGGCCUUCCUGGAGGGACGUAGGGGGACCUGGAACUUCCGGUGGAGCGGUGAAAUGCGUUGAGAUCGGAAGGAACGCCCGUGGCGAAAGCGAGGUCCUGGACGUCUACUGACACUGAGACGCGAAAGCCAGGGGAGCGAACGGG
rnacentral:rRNA from 1 species